UACAGAGGUCUCAAGCGUUGUUCGGAUUCAUUGGGCGUAAAGGGUGUGUAGGUGGCGCGCUAAGUCGGGUGUGAAAUUUCGGAGCUUAACUCCGAAACUGCAUUCGAUACUGCCGUGCUUGAGGACUGGAGAGGAGACUGGAAUUUACGGUGUAGAGGUGAAAUGCGUAGAUAUCGUAAGGAAGACCAGUGGCGAAGGCGGGUCUCUGGACAGUUCCUGACGCUGAGGCACGAAGGUCAGGGGGAGCAAACGGG
rnacentral:rRNA from 1 species